rfam:Pseudomonas syringae pv. tomato str. DC3000, complete genome.
CGGGUCGGGUUGUGUAUUUGUUGCGCUGUGUUAGUGUCAGACCCUGCUUCUCCAGAUCGAGAAGCCCGUAAAACCCCGCCUGCCCCGGCGGGGUUUUGUUUUAUU